UUCCUAACUAAAAAUAUCAUGUAGCAGCUGCAGUGGAUAGUGGCACGCAUGUCGGUGCACACCCGAUGGCAAAUGAAACGACAAUUCCAGCCACUCAAAGUUCUAUUGUUGUUCAUGAUACGUCAGGUAAGUAAGCGAAAUUACUUCAACUGUACUGAUAGCAAGCAGCUGACUUAUUAGAGCUUUGCCAAAUCAAUAAACUCAUUCAGAGAUGGAAAAAAUAGAAAUUGCAGCAGGUGCAGAAAGCUUGAUUCAGGAGGGUGAUUUACCAGCACUUGUAAGUGCAUUUAGUGUCACCCCUAGUUGGUUUUGGAGUAUUGACGACAAACCUAGUUGAGGAACUAAUGUGUUUGUGAGAAUUGCAGAAUAACACAGGUAGAAGUCCCUCAUUGAUUCGAUUUUCCUACCAGAGAUGACCCUUAAAAAUGUAUGAAGACAUUAAAGUCAAAGGUAGUAUAUGAAGAUAUUCACAUUGAAGACUAUGACAAGAGAAGACACCACAUGAAGCCUAUGGAGCUCGAAGACUUAGAUCUUUCGUAGUUCUUUCUCUUUUGUGUUGAGUCAUAGGAACCACCGUACUGUUAAGUGGGGUCCAAGAGAACCAGUCAGACUGACUGAAGUGAUGCCUAACCAAAAACCUAUGUCUUCGAGUGAAGACUAUGAGAGCGAAUCUUGUCCAGAGUCGGACAAGUCAGCUUUGCUUGUAGUUCAAGUAAAGUUGCUGUGUGAGUUUGAAAUCUGAUCGUUGGAACACGUGUCAGUUCCUUAGUGAUCCAGGGUCAUUUCGGAUAAAUCAGGUCGGGUUGCCAAGUGGCUAUAAAUAGCCCACCCCCACAACCAUAAACGGUUGGCUGCUCAGAUUGAGAUGCUCAGAUUGAGAGUACGGCUUUUGUCGUUUGAGAGCAACCCACCUCGAAGCCUUUGAGAGAGAAUUCCUUGCGAGGAUAAAGCCCUAACCACCCAGAGCCAAAGAGAAUUGGGCAUCACUUAAGUCUUUUUGUCUGUGUGAUCUGAAGACUUAUUACACUUGAGGACUGUGCAUCCUCCAGCCGGUUAGGCGUCGCGUUCUGAGCAUCCAAGAGACAUUGUGGAUUGCCGGUGAACGAAGUCUGUGAAGGUUUGGGAGUCUACCUUGAAGACUUACCAGAGUGAUUGGGCGAGGUCUGUGUGACCUUAGCUCAAGGGAAAUACGGUGAGGACUGGGUGUCCUGAGCUGCGUGUUCAGGACUGGGUGUCCGGGACUGUGUGUCCUAAGGUUUAAAUACCUAGCCGCCCCAAUCAGACGUACAGUUGUCACAGCAACUGGAACUGGUCCAACAAAUCAUUGUCUUCAACGAGUCACUCGUUUCAUCUUCCCUUCCCUUUACUUACUGUUGCUCCUUGUGAAGUCAUUGUAUGUUUGCACUAUCUUUUGUCUUCACUGAGUGACUGCAUGCUCUGUAUGGCUACAUAAUAUCUUCCUACCUGAUCCUUACUACAUUGCUGCUAUUAAGUCAUUGUGCUUUCACUUCAUUGAACACUUGACUAUGGCUUGCCUAGUGUAGUCUACCUUCCGCUGCAUGGUAAUAGGUUUAUUUCUAUCUUUUGUCUUCAUAACUUCCAUGUUUUGAAGACUUUCAUAAAAAUCGCCUAUUCACCCCCCCUAGUCGAUAUAACGCACUUUCAAUUGGUAUUAGAGCAAGGUGCUCCCUUGUUCUGUGUGAUUCGGUUUAACCACCUGGAGUUUUAGCUAUGUCGACUGCAGGGAUAAUUAAAGUCUCUGCUGCGUGCCCUGUCUUCGAUGGAACUGAAUAUCCCUACUGAAAGAAUAAGAUGCGCAUGCAUCUUGAAGCCAUUGAUGUCGACCUAUGGUAUGUCGUCGAAAACGGCGUUCCCAAAGCUGGAGAAGGUGUCACUGCUGCUGACGUCAAGAAAUUUGUUCAACUGGACUCUACUGCCAAGAAUAUCAUCUGUGGUCACCUGACCAAAUGACAGUAUGGCCGUGUGAGUGCUUUGAAGACAUCUAAACUGGUCUGGGACUGGCUCUCCAAGGUCAAUGAAGGCAUCUCAACCCAGAGAGAUCAGAGAAUCAGUGUCCUUCGCAACCUCUUCAACCGCUUCAAGCGAAAUGACAAUGAGAAUGUCCAGCACACUUUUGACCGACUCACUGACAUCACAAAUAAGCUUCAAGCCCUCGGCGCUACUGAGAUCACCAAACAUGAAGUCGUCAAGACACUACUGAGAUCACUUGAUAGUUCGUUUGACAUCCUAGCCCUGAUGAUUCAAGAACGUCCUGAUUUCAAGACACUCGAUCCAUCUGACAUACUUGAGAGGCUCAACACACAUGAGUUUCAGCUUUCUGAGAAAAGAGAUAUCUACGGUCCAAACUAUGGGCGAACUCGUGCCUUGAAGGCAAAAACUGUCUCCUCAUCUGAAGAAGAAUCUGACAGCAGUUCUGAUGAUCCUGAAGACAUUGGAAGAGAACUUGCUAUGCUUGUGAAGAAGUUUCAAAAAUUCACCAAGAAGAAAGGCUUCAAAAAGUCUUCCCGAUCAAGCUCAAGGAAUGAUGAAGCUUCUGCUCACGACUACAAGAAGAAAACGUGUCAUAAGUGCAAGAAAUCUGGCCACUUCAUCUCUGAGUGUUCACAGUGGGACAAUGAGAACAAAAAGAAGAAGAAGAGCAAGGAAUAUGACUCUGACGACAAGAAGAAGAAGAAAUACUCAAAGUCUUCGUCCAAGUCUUCUUCAAAGUCUUCAUCACACAAGAAGAGCUCAUCUGUCAAGGCACGUGCGUUUGUUGGCAAGGAAAUGGACUCGGAGGAGGAGUCCGCUUCUGAGGAGGCGGAGGUGGAGUCUGAGGAGGAUUCCGAUUCAGGCGUCGCAAGUCUGGCUACAGCAUACAUUGCCAAGUCCAUCUUCAAUACUCAAGACAAUGACCUCGUCACCGACACCGAUGCAAAUGACAAGGACUACUCCGCUUCUACCUAUUGCUUCAUGGCUCGCGGUGCCAAGGUAAACACACGCACUACUCACUAUCAAACAUCUAGUGACGAUGACUCUGAUUGUGAUUCAAAACCCAGCUACAAAACACUUGCUAAAAUUGCAACUGAACAGCAGAAAACUAUGGUACAUAUUCAAAAACUGUUAGACAGAAGCGAUGAUCUGUUAGGUGCUGAAAUGACUCGAUCUGAAUCCUUAAUUGAAGACAUAAAAAAUCUUCACGUUAAGUAUCAGGAACUUGAAAGUCGUCAUGAAACUCUCUCAACAACUCAUGAAAAGUUUUCCUAUGAUUAUCUUUAAAGGAAGCACGAUCUUGAGAAAUUGAGAGCGGUUCAUGAAGAUCUUCAAAAGGAAAACGAGUCACUUCACUCCAAACAGAUCAGUCCCGCUCAGGAAGGAUUUGAACCACCAUGUCUUAAAUGCAUUGAGCGUGAUAAUGCUACUUUUGUUGCUGAAUGUUCUACUGCUACUACUGUUGCAAUAUCUUCAACUGUUGAUGUGGUAACUAACCCCUCUGCUGAGGAUACCACUGCUAUUGCUGAUGAGAAUGCUAGGUUGAAGACAUUGCUUGAAACAGGGAUGUACAAAAGUCUUAAAGGGCAUCAGACACUAUGUGAUGUCCUCAAAAAGCAGAUUCUGAACCGGAACCCAAGGAAAGAGGGUGUUGGGUUCGUAAGGAAAAUGAAUGCUGAUGGCUCUUACUGGAAACCUGAGCAGUACCCCAAACCAUGUGGGUUGCUGCAAAGGAACCUUCAGCAGACCCAUCCAAUCUAUUUGGCUUCACCUGUGCUAACCCCAUUAUCAUUGAUGAAUCCUUUGAUGCAAACUAUAUACUAUUUAAGAAUCAGAAUGGUGAAGUGUUUGUCAGGUACAUUGGUACUAACUGCAGGAAUGGACCGCCUAUGAAGAAGAUCUGGGUUCCGAAAAGGUGUCUGGAGAAUCUUCCUGUGAAUGUCAUCAUGACACCUCACGUGAAGAAGACAAACCUCAGACCAAAGGCUUCAUACGGUCCAAAGGCUUCAUACAGACAGAGGACUCACCUGAGUCGCACUAACGCAAAUGUUUUGUAGGGAAACCAUACUCAGGCAUAUGAAUAUGAGAGCGGUUCAUCAAACCGCCAUGUUCAUAAGACCAAGAACUAUUCUGCUUAUUCUUAUGAGUACUAUUGUCCGCCUGCAAGACUGUUUGCUAGGGCUCCAAAGCCAAAAUUCUUAGAUGCUGCACUUAGAUUUAUUGCUUCUCAACCACCCUUAAAGAUGUGGGUGGCUAAGAAAGCUUAACUCUCUUUUGCAGGGAAAGGUCUCCAGCAGAAAAUCAAAAUCGUCUGACGCCAUUGCUGGGGACCUUAAACAUCUUGUAGGGCGCAAGAUCAAAUGCCCGAAUGGUCUUACUAUGUACUUCGUUCUUGAAUCGCUUGCUACUCUCCCUAUUAGUCCUAAUCUGGAUCUAAGCUUUCAUAACCCAUUGGUUCGUCAAAUGUUUUUGCUUCACAAUGCUCUUGGUGAAGCCUAUCCCCCUAACUGCACUGUAGGAUACGACACCAGCGUCUUCAGAGGAUUAUUGAUAGUGGGUGUACAAAUUACAUGACUGGCAAAAGAAGUCUUCUUAUGGACUCAACCUUACGUCCAUCCGACAAGAGACACAUCACAUUUGCUGACACUGGUAAAAGUAAGGUAUUGGGUCUAGGUAGAGUUGCAAUCUCAAGGGAUCAACACAUGGACAAAGUCAUGUUUGUUGAAUCCCUUGGCUUCAACUUAAUGUCUGUCUCAAUGCUUUGCGAUUUGAACAUGAUCGUAAUAUUUGGAAAAUAUCGUUGCCUUGUACUAAUGGAAUCUGACAAGUCUCUAGUGUUUGAAGGGUAUCGAAAAGAUGAUCUGUACGUAGUAGAUUUCUCAGCAGGACCACAGCUUGUCGUAUGUCUUCUAGCAAAAACUUCAGAAUGCUGGCUCUGGCAUCGGAGGCUUGGGCAUGCUGGCAUGAGGAACCUCCACACCCUUGCGAAGAAGAAGCAUGUCAUAGGCAUCGAGUGCGUCAAGUUCAAGAAAGACGACUUAUGCCGUGCCUGUGAAGCAGGGAAGAUGACGAGGGCCAAACAUCCUUCGAAGACAAUCAUGACCACUACUCGGCCCUUCGAACUGCUUCACAUGGAUAUUUUUGGUCCCACUCAUUACUCAACUCUUACUACUAUUGCAUGCCUCUAUGGCUUCGUUAUUGUUGAUGAUUACUCUAGAUACACUUGGUUGCACAUAAUCCUUUACAAGAAUGAAGUGCGGGAUGUCUUCAGACGCUUCGCCAAUCGAGCUAUGAACAAUUAUGGCGCCAAGAUAAAGCACAUCAGAAGUGACAAUGGUACUGAAUUCAAGAACACUGGCCUUGAUACAUAUCUUGAUACCUUGGGCAUCACACAUGAAUUCUCAGCCCCGUACAUGCCACAGCAGAAUGGCGUCGUCGAACGCAAGAACAGAACACUCAUUGAGAUGGCCGGAACGAUGCUAGAUGAAUACAAGACCCCAAGAAAAUUCUGGCCUGAAGCCAUUGAUACUGCAUGCCAUACAAUCAAUCGUGUUUAUCUUCACAAGCUUCUGAACAAGACAUCUUAUAAGAUCCUUACUGGCAAGAAGCCAAAUGUCAGUUACUUCAGAGUAUUUGGCGCAAGGUGUUGGAUCAAGGACCCACAUCACACCUCAAAGUUUGCACCAAAAGCACAUGAGGGUUUUAUGCUUGGAUAUGGAAAGGAUUCACACUCCUACAAAGUCUUCAAUCUCUUUCAUUACAAAGUGGUUGAAACAGUGGAUGUGCGGUUCGAUGAGACUAAUGGUUCACAAAGAGAGCAACUGCCAAAUGUGCUAGAUGAAGUUCCAUCCAGUGAAUCAAUCAAGCUAAUGGGAACUGAAGAAAUUAUACCUUCUGAAGCUCAUCCUGAAGAAGAACUUAUCAUCUCAGCACCUGAUCAACAUGAAGACAAUGCUCAGCCUGAAGACAUUCCUUCUAACAACGACAAUGAUCAGCAAGAGCAAAGUCUUCUCCCUGUACAUCCUCGCGUUGCCAAUGAAGUGCAGAUUGAAAGAAUAAUUGAUAGCAUCAAUGCACCCGGUCCACUCACUCGUUCAAGGGCAACUCAGCUAGCAAAUUUCUGUGGGCACUUUGCAUUCGUCUCAAUAAUAGAACCCAAAAAAGUUGAAGAAGCCUUCAUGGAACCUGAAUGGAUUCAAGCUAUGCAAGAAGUGCUUCAACAGUUUGAGCUGAAUAAUGUAUAGGAACUAGUUAAGCGUCCUGAUCCACGGAAGCACAAUAUAAUAGGCACCAAAUGGAUAUACCGCAACAAGCAAGAUGAGCAUGGUCAAGUUGUCAGAAACAAAGCUCGUCUCGUUGCUCAAGGAUAUACUCAAGUGGAAGGCAUUGACUUUGAUGAAACAUUUGCUCCUGUGGCUAGACUUGAAGCCAUACGCAUACUGCUGGCCUAUGCAAAUCAUCACAACAUACUUCUAUAUCAAAUGGAUGUGAAGAGUGCUUUUCUCAAUGGCAAGGUUGAAGAAGAAGUGUAUGUUGCACAACCGCCUGGCUUUGAAGAUCGAAAACAUCCUGACAUGGUAUACAAGCUCAACAAGGCACUGUAUGGCCUCAAACAAGCCCCUCGGGCCUGGUAUGACACACUCAAAUACUUCCUGAAGAGCAAAGGCUUCAUACCUGGUUCCCUAGACCCCACUCUCUUCAUGAAGACAUAUGAUGGUGAACUGUUUGUGUGCCAAAUAUAUGUGGAUGACAUUAUCUUCGGCUGUACCAAUCAGAAGUACAGUGAAGAGUUUGGAUAUAUGAUGCAAGAGCAAUAUCAGAUGUCCAUGAUGUGAGAGCUGAAAUUCUUCCUCGGUCUUCAAAUACGACAACAACGCAACGACAUCUUCAUAUCUCAAGAGAAGUAUCUCAAAGAUUGUCUGAAGAAGUUCGGUAUGCAAGACUGCAAAGGCUUCACAACACCAAUGCCAGCCAAACAUCAUCUGGGUCCCGACGAUAAUGGUAAAGAGUUCAAUCAAAAGGUAUACCGCUCCAUGAUUGGUUCUUUACUUUAUCUAUGUGCAUCUAGGCCAGAUAUUAUGCUUAGUGUUUGCAUGUGUGCUCGAUUUCAAGCGGCACCAAAGGAAUCGCAUCACUUAGCUGUGAAGCGAAUUCUUCGAUAUUUGGCUCACACCCCAACUCUAGGAUUAUGAUAUCCAAAGGGCUCAGAGUUUGAUCUGGUUGGAUUCUCGGAUGCUGAUUAUGUUGGUGACAAAGUUGAUCGCAAGUCUACAUCGGGCACAUGUCACUUUCUGGGACGAUCACUUGUAUGUUGGUCUUCAAAGAAGCAGAACUGUGUAUCUCUCUCCACUGCUGAAUCUGAAUACAUUGCUGCUGGAUCUUGCUACGCUCAGCUUCUAUGGAUGAAGCAAACACUCAAGGACUAUGGCAUUCAUCUGAAGCAAGUGCCACUUUACUGCGACAACGAAAGCGCCAUCAAGAUCGCCAACAACCCAGUUCAGCACUCGAAGACAAAGCACAUUGAAAUUCGUCAUCACUUUUUCAGAGAUCAUGUUGUGAAGGAAGAUAUUGAUAUCAUACACGUCAACACUGAAGAGCAAUUGGCAGAUAUGUUCACCAAGCCUUUGGAUGAGAAGAGAUUUUGCAAGUUACGGUGUGAGCUAAAUAUCCUGGAAUCCUCAAAUGUCUUGUGAUCAGGCACACAUCCUAACCCUUAUGUAUAUUGAUGACUUAGAUGUGCAACACACGAAGUAAAGUAUAUCUUCAAUCAAUGAAGACAUACAUUCUAAGUGUGAAUACAUUAAUGUGGAAUUUGACUUCGGAGCGCCACGAUAAUUGUGCGUCGUGUCUGGGUCUAAUACUUCCUAUACGGUGGGUAACGCCACCACCAAAUGUUCUAUUUUGAAGUGUUUCACUCAUGACGUUACCUUGCAAUGUCUUCACAUUUGGUUUGGCUUCGAUCUCAACAUAUCUUCAUGAUUAUCUUCACUAUGUUGAUUAUAUAGAUAUAUAUAUAUAUUAGUGUUCUGUCCUCUACAGCAUUCACUUAUAGCUAUGUAUUCAUUGUUGAAUCUGUUGAACUAAGUGAAUGUGAUUGGACCCUAACCUCUUUAUGCUUUCUAUCUCAAAUUCUAUCUCUCCAAAUCAUAUGCAUUCUAUUGAAACUGUCGAAUGUCUUCUCUGUGUCCUUGUCAGCAGAAGAUACAGAGAUAACCAUUAAGUCCAUUUUUAAUGCUCAUUCCUCCACAUGAAGUAGGAACGACCACCCAACAAUCAAGGCGUGCAUGAGACGUGGAACAAACCCCAAAAUUCCGCAUAAUGGCCACGUGUUCCUCAGAUGCGAAUCGCCAGGGGCACCUGUGUAAUAGCGCAGUGCCGCCCAUGUACCUAUAAAUACACACUUCACAGCGGUCAUUAUCUCUUCUUCCACUCUCGCACGAACCCUAGCGCCACCGCUAGCCCUCGACGACGCCGGCGACGAAGCGCUUCACUGCCGCAACCUCUCCGACGCCGUCUUCACGCCGACCGCGGACAUCCUCCUCUCCGCCAUCGUCGUAGGUGUCCUCCGUCGCCAAGUUAGGGCACAGAAGAUCGAACUGCUCGGCCUCAUCUUUCACUUCGUCUAGCAGUUCUUAGUGUGGUAAAUAAAACUUUCUUUUUACAUCACCGUUGAUCCUAUGGAUUUGUCACUUUCUACCACAAGCAGUUUCUAUUCACAUAAGUUAGAUCUCUCUCAUACUGCAUCUCAUAACAUGCCUAGUAUAUUCACUUAUGCUUCACAAAGUAGUUAGAUUCCUCACUUGUAUUGAUCUGUGGAUUCGUACAAAUUUGGAACCAACUCCUUAUCUAUGAGUGAAUGUCUUCGCAAAAUGAGGUCAAUGUCUUCUAAACUGAUUUAUCUUCAAAAUCUUCUGAGAAUGCAUAUGACCUCUUCCCCUUCCCUCGCACCUUAAUACUGUCACAGGUACAUGUCCGUGGGAGAAUCUUUUGGUUCUCAUAGUCUGCAUUCAUUUGCAGAAGUCUUACAGCAUCACAUUAAUUCUCCCGAAGCCAGUUCCUGUUGGUCCAGCAAGCGAAAACCUUUGAAGCCUUUGAACAUGUUGAAGCCUUUCAAGUUAAAGUUUAUGGCUUCAGAGAAAGCAGCAAGGAAGGGUGGCAGAAAGCGUCAUGGAGAAACAUCCAGAGAUCUGCCAGAUGAACUCUCAGAACUGUACAAGACAGAUCCUGAAGAGGAUUACAAUUAGCGCAAGACCCGAAUCCAAUGGAUUCGAAGAUAUUGGGCAGAACAAUGGUUCAAAUACCGAUUUGUAACCCAAGAAUAUGCUGAGAAAAAUGCCAUCAAGAGACCGUGGGGAGACAUCCAAUACAAGAAUCUUCUACCCAGGUCCAGAGAUGAAGCCAUUGCUAAAGGCUUCUAUCCCUGCAUGGUCCGUGGGCCACAGCCAGCUGAUGCACACCCAUCGUCACUACUAUGGUGUCGUGACGACAAUCUGUUCAAGCGCAACUUCCAGUUUGCCCAGAACUCAGCGAAGCAGAAUAAGAAGACUUUGGGGUUAGACUUCAACCCUGGUCCCUCAGCACCAAGGGCAGAUGGCACACGAGAUGCAGAAUCCAAUGUCAUCGGUCCUUUCAACAACCUUGAAGGCCUCAUCACCCGCAUCUUAGUUCAAGGGACUGCAGUGAAUGAGCCUGUAGCUGACGUUGAAUCAGAAGAAGCUCCUGCAGCGCCGAAGACAAAGAAGAUGAAGAAGCCUAAAGCUUCAAAGCCUGCCCCCUCACCAAAAAUCUCAAGGGCGAAGCCACUGGCAACUGCACCUCCUGAAGACAGUGUGCAGUCCGAAGACUUAUCUCGCAUCUCCAAGCCCCAGAAAGUCAAGAUGCCUCUGCCUCACACCGAACAAGAGCUAACUGCUGCUGCCAUUCUGCGCAAUGACGACAUUGAUCUGUCAAGUGAUGAAGAUCUAGCAGAUGACGCUCUUGAGCAACUCAUCAAAAGCAAAGAAGAAGCAGAAAUCUUCAAUGAUCUGCCUCUCUUUGAUGUGACCACCAUCCACAACUUCAUUGAUGAGUGGUUUGACACGCCAAAUAUCAGCUUUGAAGAUCUGCAGCUACCAAUUGGCCUUAGUGUCGCCUUCCAAGGCGCCAUUGCUUUAGAACUCGCUAUUGCCCAGCGCAUUGUUGAACUGAAGCAAAAGAUUGACUAUGAAAAGGCUCAGUUCAAGAAGCAUAUGGCCAAACUCAGCAUGCAGGAAGUGAAGAACUUCAAGAGUAUGAUGCACGAGCUCAAGGAAGCCUUUGUAAAGAAACGUGCAGAAGCUCAGGGUUCGCGUGAGCGCAUGAAGAUUCUGGCUGACAGAUGUGUGCAAGCCUAUAAUGAGGCUGAGAAGCGCAAGGCCCUUGGGCGUCCUGGCAUCGACCCCAGGAUGACCGCAAAGAAGAAGAAGAAGCCUGCUACGGCUGAACCUGACGCACCAAGGCAGGAAGCAGUUCCUAUUGUCUUCCCAACUAAAAUGACUGGCUCGAAGCCAAAAAUCCGGUCAACAGCUUCAGAGCUCAAGAAGACAAGGACUGCUGAGGCUGAAACUAGGAAGAGGAAACAUUCUGAAGCCUCUCCAACUGCCCCCUCCAAGAAGAAGAGGAAGACCAAGAAAGAUCGGGCAGCUCCCACAGAGCCCUUGAUAGUUGAACCAAUUUCUAUGGUCUAUCCUGAAGCUGAACGCCAUGAACGCCAACUGACUAUCCACGAGCUUGCUUCCACAGAGGCUCAUGAAGCUGAAGACUUUCCAGCAGUUGAUCUCAUCGUUGCUGAAGACAUUGGUCAACAUGACAAUGUAGAAGAUGGUGCAGUCCUUCCUCAGAACAGCAAACUCAUCAGCAUUGGUCGUCCACUGAUGCCAAUUGCACAGGAUGCUUCAUGGGCAGAUCGCCCACAAGAGGAAGAAGACUAUGAGGCCCAACCCACUCCAACUCCACAGGCGUCGCCCGCGUUGCGCAGGCUUCGCAAAGGUCCAAGGCCUCAAGUCUCUGCUGAAGACAAUCCGGCUGCAUCAGCCGCGGAAGAUGAAGUCCCACAAGUUGCCACUCCACUGUCCCACCAAGAAGCAGUUCUCAAGGAGAACGUUCUUGAAAAUCUUGCGGCUACCACAACCACCAAUGAAGCUAAUGUGGAGCCCUCCCCAAUGGAAAAAGAAGACAGCAAAGCCACUGAUCCCGUCACUUCUGUUCCUGAGUCUGCUGUCGGUCCACAGUUCGACUAUCAUGUUGAGCACAGGCCUUAGGUACAGAAGCUAAUCCCAAGAUUGUCAAGGUUCCCAGGUCCUGCAUCAGCACCUGGCUCCUUCUAUAUCAAUGGCUUCAGGGCAGACAACACAUUCUUCGAUAGCUCCAGGAACCCCUACUCAAGGGAAAGGAUAUCAUCUGAUCGGUUCUUGAGCUAUCCUCAGCGAAGCUAUUACUCAUGCAUUCUUUACAACCAAGGUCGCAUCUUCCCACACAAGCGCCUUGACAUUAAAGCCAUAGCUAGUCUGCCCUGUCUGGAAGAAGCUUUGGAUUGCUUCAAGGAAGUUGGACUACUGCCGUUCGUUACUGAUCAAGAGCAUUGGAAUGAAGAGCUGCUGCUCCAAUUCUAUGCCACACUUCACAUCCGCGGGUACAGCAGAGAUCCGAAGAUUUGGGUCCUGGAGUGGAUGACCGGAAAUGUUCAUCACGAAGCCAAUGCAUUUGACAUCAUUGAGCUCACUGGUUUGCCCACUCCUGACGAUCUCUACGAGCAUGGCUGUCAGCUGCAUAGUGAAGCUAUUGAGAGCAUCUUUAAGAGGUCGGAACCUGAUAUGAGUCAGAUGCUCAGCAUGAUGAAGCCAUUGCCCCAAGAUGCUGCUUAUCCAACAGAGUUCUUCGUUGAAGACCUUGAGUAUUUGCCACGAACCAUCUAUCACAUCAUCAGGCGAACUCUCUGGCCCAUCAAAGGGCACUCUCCAAAUGCCAAGCUUGAGGGUGCAAUAAAGACUUUGGUCUUCUAUAUUCUUCAUGGAAAAUGCUUCAAUGCACAGGACUUAUUCAUCCGCCAACUUGCUGCAUCGGGCUCUGAUCUGUUUGGUUUGAAGUUCUACGCCCCAUGGGUAAUGCGGCUAAUUAAACUUCACUCCGAUAUCUCAUAUCAGCCAUCUGCUCGCAAUCAUAGGAUUUUUCUGCCUAAUGUGGAUAUCUCUACUGAAGCCAUCUAUCCUGACCCUGCAAAGGAACCUCUAAGUCUUCAGAAUGCAGAGCAUCAGAGUUUCUCACAGAAUAUUGAAGGAGUUGAAGCAGUCACUCGGGUGUAUCCUUUGGCUGGCACUACACGUGCACCACACCCUGCGUCUACUGAAGUCACUGAUAGUACAACUGCUCCAAGACCCAAGAAGCGCACUCGUGUUCUCAACGACCGAGAGCUUCUUGUGGCUCUUCAUCAGAAACAGGAUAGGUAUCAUGACUGGCUGAAGCAUCAAGAUGAAAAGCCUCUUGGUGGAAGUUAAUCGCAUUCGCAAUCUUGCCACCAAGAAUGCUUUCGUUGCCCAUGAAACAUGUCGCCGUACAUGGAAAGGGCUAACGAUGAUGUGUUCUGAAGAUGAUCUCCAAGAGGAUGGCUUCACUGAGCGAUUAAAGUUUGACUCCACACCUCCUCGAAGAGCUGUGCUGCUAGGAACUCCACACCUUGAAGACUCUGAGUUCUCUUCAUCUGCUGCAACAGUGACUGCCAGAGUUAUCGAGGAUGAAGAUAAUGCUACUUCACCACCACCUCCUUCAGCACACGUCAACUCUGCUCCAAGCUCUUCAGCACCGCCAAACACCACCAACGACCCUGCUACUUCACCUAUUCCGCAUGGGAACGAGUAGAUGCUCUAUGUCUUCAAACCUUUUUGGUCCUUACUGACAAAAGGGGGAGAAGCAUAUGAGGUUGAUAGUCUUCAAGCGGGUCCAUAUGGGCGGGUGCUUUAUAUUUUGCUUCGUGCUUACAACUCUCGUUUUGCUACAUUUGGUUCUUUGAGUUGUAACACUUAAACUCGAUGGUUGUCUGCUACUUAUCUGCCACUUUGUUUUGCGAUGAUAAAUUCCGCAUGUGCGACGAUAAAUUCCGCACUUAGAUCAUUCUACAGACGUCCAUUUUCCAUUAUGCAUGUCAUUAUCUUCAUAUACUUUCACAUGCAUAGUGGAUUGUCAUCAUAAGUUGAAGUGGAUCUCCAUAAGUACAACCUGCCAUGUGCAUUUGCAUUCCAAAAGCAAAUUACCUAUAUGCACAUCUUCAGGGGGAGCCCUUGCAACUUAUGAAGACAAUUCCUUAUCCUUUACAAUUUCACAGAUUAUAUUCCCCGUUGAAAACUUCAACUAGUUUGUCAUCAAUCACCAAAAAGGGGGAGAUUGUAAGUGCAUCUAGUGCCACCUCUAGUUGGUUUUGGAGUAUUGACGACAAACCUAGUUGAGGGACUAAUGUGUUUGUGAGAAUUGCAGGAUAACACAGGUAGAAGUCCCUC
rnacentral:lncRNA from 1 species